UUACAUAGGAGGUCCCGCCUGCCCAGUGACAACAGUUUAACGGCCGCGGUAUUUUAACCGUGCGAAGGUAGCGCAAUCAAUUGUCUCCUAAUUAGAGACCUGUAUGAAUGGCAUAACGAGGGUUUAACUGUCUCUUUCUUCUAGUCAAUGAAAUUGAUCUAUCCGUGCAGAAGCGGGUAUAACACCACAAGACGAGAAGACCCUAUGGAGCUUUAAACGCUAAUCAAUCGUGAAAAGAAACCAGCCAAACUGAACUUCUAACCGCAUGAAUAUGACACAAGCGUUUUAGGUUGGGGCGACCGUGGGGGAAAACAAAGCCCUCGGCGAGGACUGGGACAUAAAGCCUGGAACCAAGAGCCGCACCUCUAAGUCACAAAACAUUUGACCUAUAUAUUAAUUGAUCCGGCUUCAUGCCGAUUAACGGACCAAGUUACCCUAGGGAUAACAGCGCAAUCCUCUCUAAGAGUGCAUAUCGACGAGGGGGUUUACGACCUCGAUGUUGGAUCAGGACAUCCUAAUGGUGCAACCGCUA
rnacentral:rRNA from 1 species